AUUGAACGCUGGCGGUAGGCCUAACACAUGCAAGUCGAACGGCAGCACAGUAAGGGCUUCCUCUUACGUGUGGCGAGUGGGGGACGGGUGAGGAAUACAUCGGAAUCUCUGUUUUCGUGGGGUAUCACGUAGGGAAACUUACUCUAAUCCCGCAUACUCGCUACGGCUAAAAGCAGGGGAUCUUCGGACCUUGCGCUAUUGAAUGGGCCGAUGUCGGAUUAGCUAGUUGGUGGGGUAAAGGCCCACCAAGGCGACGAUCCGUAGCUGGUCUGAGAGGAUGAUCAGCCACACUGGAACUGAGACACGGUCCAGACUCCUACGGGAGGCAGCAGUGGGGAAUAUUGGACAAUGGGCGCAAGCCUGAUGCAGCCAUACCGCGUGGGUGAAGAAGGCCUUCGGGUUGUAAAGUCCUUUUGUUGGGAAAGAAAAGCAGAAGGCUAAUACCUCGCUGUACUGACGGUACCCAAAGAAUAAGCACCGGCUAACUUCGUG
rnacentral:rRNA from 1 species